rnacentral:misc_RNA from 1 species
GAUGAAGAACGCAGCGAAAUGCGAUACGUAAUGUGAAUUGCAGAAUUCAGUGAAUCAUCGAGUCUUUGAACGCACAUUGCGCCCCCUGGUAUUCCGGGGGGCAUGCCUGUCCGAGCGUCAUUGCUGCCCUCAAGCACGGCUUGUGUGUUGGGCCCCCGUCCUCCUCCCGGGGGACGGGCCCGAAAGGCAGCGGCGGCACCGCGUCCGGUCCUCGAGCGUAUGGGGCUUCGUCACCCGCUCUUGUAGGCCCGGCCGGCGCUUGCCGACACAUCAAUCUUUUUUCCAGGUUGACCUCGGAUCAGGUAGGGAUACCCGCUGAACUUAAGCAUAUAAUAAGCGGAGGA